UAAAAUUGUGCCUCACAUGUAAUGCUGGGCAUAAUUACUAUGUUAAACUCAUUUCGGUUUUAAAAGUAAUUUUGCAAGUAAUUCGAGACAGCAGCCACUUUUUUACAGAAAAUAAAAAAAAGUAAUUUUAGGUUUCCUAAUUACCCGACUCACGCUGCAAUGACGGCAAUUUCUGAAAACACCCAUGAUGAUUACGUACCCAUUCAU